AACAAAUUUUAUACUUAAAUUAAAAAUAAAUAAAUAAGUAAAAAUCCUAAGGAAAUAAAUAAAUAAAUAAAUAAAUGAAGGAAUGAUGUUUUCGAGUAAAAUUGUCAGUUGAAAUUGACAAAUUCCACUCCAGGUGGAAAAAUUUCAGCAAAACAGCACAACGCAACGAGAGAUCCACAGCAGUGCUGGUCCAACAGACGUGACUGUGGAAAGACAUGAAGUGAGGAGAAAAUAUCACAUAUUGGAGAACACAGAGUGAAGUGCAAAAUGAAUAACCUUGAAUCAGGUUUUCCUAGUCUGUUUAACUUUGGUGAAGCUUUCGCUUCAACAGAAUCUAAAACCGUGUUUUCUAAUUGAAUGGAUGUUGGUACCUCACUGUGUGAGGUAAGAAGACAAGGGACAGCUAAAACAAAGGGCACACUAGGGCUCUGGGGGAUCUGUGAAUGUGAAUGAAGCAGACGGCCUUGAAACAAGAGGAGCACGUGGUCAGUGGAGAGAUGAGAAAAGCAAAGGAGAAUGGGGCGGAGCACAUGUUCAACUGCACACAUUCAAACUGGACACUUGUCAACGAUUUGUGCUUCUUUUGAGUUCCUGUAUGAUUAGAAGACAGUGAUGUGAUCUGGAAAAUGGAUAAUAAAUUAUUUAGGAAUAUCGUA